AAUUGACGGGGAGCACCACAACGGGUGGAGCUUGCGGUUAAUUGGAUUCAACGCCGGAAAUCUUACCGGGACCGACAGCAAUAUGAAGGCCAGGCUGAAGACUUUGCCGGAUUAGCUGAGAGGUGGUGCAUGGCCGUCGUCAGUUCGUACUGUGAAGCAUCCUGUUAAGUCAGGCAACGAGCGAGACCCACGCCCACAGUUGCCAGCGUACUCUCUGGAGUGACGGGUACACUGUGGGGACCGCCGCUGCUAAAGCGGAGGAAGGAAUGGGCAACGGUAGGUCAGCAUGCCCCGAAUUAACUGGGCUACACGCGGGCUACAAUGGGUGGGACAAUGGGUAUCGACACCGAAAGGUGAAGGCAAUCUCCUAAACCCAUCCGUAGUUCGGAUUGUGGGCUGCAACUCGCCCACAUGAAGCUGGAAUCUGUAGUAAUCGUGUCUCAAAAUGGCACGGUGAAUAUGUCCCUGCUCCUU
rnacentral:rRNA from 1 species